rnacentral:rRNA from 1 species
GGAUGAACGCUGGCGGCGUGCCUAAUACAUGCAAGUCGAGCGAACAGACGAGGAGCUUGCUCCUCUGACGUUAGCGGCGGACGGGUGAGUAGCACGUGGAUAACCUACCUAUAAGACUGGGAUAACUUCGGGAAACCGGAGCUAAUACCGGAUAAUAUAUUGAACCGCAUGGUUCAAUAGUGAAAGACGGUUUUGCUGUCACUUAUAGAUGGAUCCGCGCCGCAUUAGCUAGUUGGUAAGGUAACGGCUUACCAAGGCGACGAUGCGUAGCCGACCUGAGAGGGUGAUCGGCCACACUGGAACUGAGACACGGUCCAGACUCCUACGGGAGGCAGCAGUAGGGAAUCUUCCGCAAUGGGCGAAAGCCUGACGGAGCAACGCCGCGUGAGUGAUGAAGGUCUUCGGAUCGUAAAACUCUGUUAUUAGGGAAGAACAAAUGUGUAAGUAACUAUGCACGUCUUGACGGUACCUAAUCAGAAAGCCACGGCUAACUACGUG